UGUUUAUAUACACUGUGUAACAGGACUACAACUCCAAUCAUCCUCAGUAUGUUUACAAACACUGUGUGGCAAGGACUACAACUCCCAUCAUCCUCAGUAUGUUUAUAUACACAGUGUGUGACAGGACUACAACUCCCAUCAUCCUCAGUAUGGUUAUACACACUGUGUGACAGGACUACAGCUCCCAUCAUCCUCAGUAUGUUUAUAUACACUGUAACAGGACUACAACUCCCAUCAUCCUCAGUAUGUUUACACAAUGUGUGACAAGUACUACAACUCCCAU